AUGUAACAACAUUCUUUGUAAUCCCUAUCUUAAGACAUUGGUAUAUUCCACGAAGCUAAGGAAAAAGAGCUUAUGUAUCCAGUAUCUGUAAGCCUCCUGUCGAGAAAGCAGGAUGCGCCCGGCCUCUGCCUGCAUUACCAUUUUCUCUUUGGUCGGAAAAGACGUCUGGAUUGCCACCAAGCCUUGACAUUCGGCUACCGUGACUCCUUUGGUGCACUUGGAAAUACCCAAAUGUCUGAGGACCAAGUCAAGAAAGAGAACAAACAUUGGAUAAUCAUUGGAAGAAUCAUGAAGUGAUACCUCUAUAUCCAGCUUCCUUUGUUCAGAUAGUUUUGGCUUCCAUGGCCCAGGUGGACUGGUCGAAACAUCAACAUGCAUAGCAUCUGCAGCAGGAAGAUCACAAUCAUCCGCUUUUGUCUUUAGACAAUGUUUUCUGGGAUCACUUGAGCAGCUAUGAAGAGGUAAGGGAGUAAAACCGUGAUCCUCGGGUGCAUGGGUGUCCACCCUACUUACCCUAUGUGCUAUCGGCAUCAGAUGACGCGGUUGUAAAGCUCUGGGACUGGGAGAAGGACUAGAUGUGUACUCAAACAUUUGAAGGACAUUCACAUUAUGUGAUGUGAGUAGCAUUUGAUCCUCAAGAUCCUAAUGCUUUUGCAAGUGCAUCACUUGAUGGAACUAUAAAGAUUUGGAAUGUUCACUCCUCU